rnacentral:rRNA from 1 species
CAAUAGCGUAUAUUAAAGUUGUUGCGGUUAAAAGACUCGUAGUUGGAUUUCUGUCGAAGACGUCCGGUCCGCUCUAUGAGCGUGUAUCUGGUUCGGCUUUGGCAUCCUCGUGGGGAACGCUACUGUGCUUGAUUGCAUGGUGCGGUAUUCACGACUUUUACUUUGAGGAAAUUAGAGUGUUCACGGCAGGCAAGCGCCUUGAAUACAUUAGCAUGGAAUAAUAAUAUAGGACGUUUGGUUCUUAUUUUGUUUGGUUUUCUUAGAACUAAAGUAAUGAUUAAAUAGGGAUAAUUGGGGGCGAUUUGUACUAUCGAGUUCAGAGGUGGAAGUUCUUGGAUUUCGAUAUAGACAAACUACUGCGAAAGCAUUUGCCAAGGA